GACGAACGCUGGCGGCGUGCCUAACACAUGCAAGUCGAGCGAAGUGAGUACUACGGUACGAACUUAGCGGCGGACGGGUGAGUAACGCGUGGACAAUCUACCCUGUAGACUGGGAUAACACCUCGAAAGGGGUGCUAAUACCGGAUAAUGUCGAGAAGCGGCAUCGCUUUUCGAAGAAAGGAGAGAAUCCGCUAUAGGAGGAGUCCGCGUCCCAUUAGCUAGUUGGUGAGGGUAACGGCCCACCAAGGCGACGAUGGGUAGCCGGCCUGAGAGGGUGAACGGCCACACUGGAACUGAGACACGGUCCAGACUCUUACGGGAGGCAGCAGUGGGGAAUAUUGUGCAAUGGGGGAAACCCUGACACAGCAACGCCGCGUGAGCGAAGAAGGCCUUCGGGUUGUAAAGCUCAAUAGUAUGGGAAGAUAAUGACGGUACCAUACGAAAGCCCCGGCUAACUACGUGCCAGCCGCCGCCGUAA
rnacentral:rRNA from 1 species